rnacentral:rRNA from 1 species
GGCUUACCAUGCAGUCGAGGGGCAGCAUUUCAGUUUGCUUGCAAACUGGAGAUGGCGACCGGCGCACGGGCUGAGUAACACGCUAUCCNACCUGCCGAUAACUCGGGGAUAGCCUUUCGAAAGAAAGAUUAAUACCCGAUGGUAUAAUCAGACCGCANGGUCUUAUUAUUAAAGAAUUUCGGUUAUCGAUGGGGAUGCGUUCCAUUAGGCAGUUGGUGAGGUAACGGCUCACCAAACCUUCGAUGGAUAGGGGUUCUGAGAGGAAGGUCCCCCACAUUGGAACUGAGACACGGUCCAAACUCAUACGGGAGGCAGCAGUGAGGAAUAUUGGUCAAUGGGCGCAGGCCUGAACCAGCCAAGUAGCGUGAAGGAUGACUGCCCUAUGGGUUGUAAACUUCUUUUAUAUGGGAAUAAAGUUUUCCACGUGUGGAAUUUUGUAUGUACCAUAUGAAUAAGGAUCGGCUAACUCCGUGCCAGCAGCCGCGGUAAUACGGAGGAUCCGAGCGUUAUCCGGAUUUAUUGGGUUUAAAGGGAGCGUAGGUGGACAGUUAAGUCAGUUGUGAAAGUUUGCGGCUCAACCGUAAAAUUGCAGUUGAUACUGGCUGUCUUGAGUACAGUAGAGGUGGGCGGAAUUCGUGGUGUAGCGGUGAAAUGCUUAGAUAUCACGAAGAACUCCGAUUGCGAAGGCAGCUCACUGGACUGCAACUGACACUGAUGCUCGAAAGUGUGGGUAUCAAACAGGAUUAGAUACCCUGGUAGUCCACACAGUAAACGAUGAAUACUCGCUGUUUGCGAUAUACAGUAAGCGGCCAAGCGAAAGCAUUAAGUAUUCCACCUGGGGAGUACGCCGGCAACGGUGAAACUCAAAGGAAUUGACGGGGGCCCGCACAAGCGGAGGAACAUGUGGUUUAAUUCGAUGAUACGCGAGGAACCUUACCCGGGCUUAAAUUGCAUUUGAAUANUNUGGAAACAGNUUAGCCGCAAGGCAAAUGUGAAGGUGCUGCAUGGUUGUCGUCAGCUCGUGCCGUGAGGUGUCGGCUUAAGUGCCAUAACGAGCGCAACCCUUAUCUUUAGUUACUAACAGGUCAUGCUGAGGACUCUAGAGAGACUGCCGUCGUAAGAUGUGAGGAAGGUGGGGAUGACGUCAAAUCAGCACGGCCCUUACGUCCGGGGCUACACACGUGUUACAAUGGGGGGUACAGAAGGCAGCUACCUGGUGACAGGAUGCUAAUCCCAAAAGCCUCUCUCAGUUCGGAUCGAAGUCUGCAACCCGACUUCGUGAAGCUGGAUUCGCUAGUAAUCGCGCAUCAGCCAUGGCGCGGUGAAUACGUUCCCGGGCCUUGUACACACCGCCCGUCAAGCCAUGAAAGCCGGGGGUACCUGAAGUACGUAACCGCAAGAGCUCCUAG